AUUGAACGCUGGCGGCAGGCUUAACACAUUCAAGUCGAGCGAGCGGCGGACGGGUGAUUAAUGUCUGGGAAACUGCCUGAUGGAGGGGGAUAACUACUGGAAACGGUAGCUAAUACCGCAUACCAUCAGAUGUGCCCAGAUGGGAUUAGCUAGUCGGUGGGAUAAUGGCUCAACUAGGCGACGAUCCCUAGCUGGUCUGAGAGGAUGACCAGCCACACUGGAACUGAGACCAGGUCCAGACUCCUACGGGAGGCAGCAGUGGGGAAUAGUGCACAAUGGGCGCAAGCCUGAUGCAGCGAUGCCGCGUGUGUGAAGAAGGCCUUCGGGUUGUAAAGCACUUUCAGCGAGGAGGCGUUACUCGCAGAAGAAGCACCGGCUAACUCCGUGCCAGCAGCCGCCGUAAUUC
rnacentral:rRNA from 1 species